rnacentral:misc_RNA from 1 species
GUGAAUCAUCGAAUUUUUGAACGCAAAUUGCGCUUCCUGGUAUCCCGGGAAGUAUGCCUGUUUGAGGGUCAGUAUUAACUAAAAAUCGGUUUGGUUGCAUAUUGUGACGUUUCCGGAGUUUGGGCUUAUCUUAACUUUUUUGGUUAAGGGGCUUAAAAUUGACCUUUUUUGCGCAUUUUUAGACGUACAUAAUUUUUUUUUUAUUCGUUUUUGAUGAAGGCCAAAUUCUUAUUAAU